rnacentral:rRNA from 1 species
UACAGAGGUCUCGAGCGUUAGGCGGAAUCACUGGGCUUAAAGCGUGUGUAGGCGGAUCUGUAAGUACCUUGUGAAAUCCCACAGCUUAACUGUGGAACUGCUUGGUAUACUGCCAGUCUUGAGCCAGCUAGGGGCUACCGGAACAAAUGGUGGAGCGGUGAAAUGCGUAGAUAUCAUUUGGAACGCCAAUGGUGAAAACAGGUAGCUGGGGCUGUGCUGACGCUGAGACACGAAAGCCAGGGGAGCAAACGGG